GCGUUGGUUGUCCAGGUGAAAGGAUGUAGGCAUGUAUCUUAGGCAAAUCCGGGGUACUCUAUGCUGAGAUCUGAUAGCAAGCUGUACUUGUACAGCGAAGUGGUUGAUGCCAUGCUUCCAGGAAAAGUCUCUAAGCUUCAGUUACACAGGAAUCGUACCCGAAACCGACACAGGUGGUCAGGUCGAGUAGACCAAGGCGCUUGAGAGAACUCUGCUGAAGGAACUAGGCAAAAUGGUACCGUAACUUCGGGAGAAGGUACGCUGUUGUUGGUGAUGGAACUCGCUUCCUGAGCUGACGACAGCCGCAGAAACCAGGCCGCUGCAACUGUUUAUUAAAAACAUAGCACUCUGCAAACACGAAAGUGGACGUAUAGGGUGUGAUGCCUGCCCGGUGCUGGAAGGUUAAUUGAUGGGGUUAGCGUAAGCGAAGCUCUUGAUCGAAGCCCCAGUAAACGGCGGCCGUAACUAUAACGGUCCUAAGGUAGCGAAAUUCCUUGUCGGGUAAGUUCCGACCUGCACGAAUGGCAUAAUGAUGGCGGCGCUGUCUCCAGCAGAGGCUCAGUGAAAUCGAAAUCGCUGUGAAGAUGCAGUGUACCCGCGGCUAGACGGAAAGACCCCGUGAACCUUUACUGCAGCUUGACACUGAACUUUGACCUUACUUGUGUAGGAUAGGUGGGAGGCUUUGAAGCUGGAACGCUAGUUCCAGUGGAGCCGUCCUUGAAAUACCACCCUGGUAAUGUUGAGGUUCUAACUCUGUCCCGUGAUCCGGGACGAGGACCGUGUCUGGUGGGUAGUUUGACUGGGGCGGUCUCCUCCUAAAGAGUAACGGAGGAGUACGAAGGUGCGCUCAGCGUGGUCGGAAAUCACGCGUAGAGUAUAAAGGCAAAAGCGCGCUUAACUGCGAGACCCACAAGUCGAGCAGGUACGAAAGUAGGUCUUAGUGAUCCGGUGGUUCUGUAUGGAAGGGCCAUCGCUCAACGGAUAAAAGGUACUCUGGGGAUAACAGGCUGAUACCGCCCAAGAGUUCAUAUCGACGGCGGUGUUUGGCACCUCGAUGUCGGCUCAUCUCAUCCUGGGGCUGAAGCAGGUCCCAAGGGUAUGGCUGUUCGCCAUUUAAAGAGGUACGCGAGCUGGGUUUAGAACGUCGUGAGACAGUUCGGUCCCUAUCUACCGUGGGCGCUGGAAAUUUGAGAGGAUCUGCUCCUAGUACGAGAGGACCAGAGUGGACGAACCUCUGGUGUACCGGUUGUGACGCCAGUCGCAUCGCCGGGUAGCUAUGUUCGGAAGGGAUAACCGCUGAAAGCAUCUAAGCGGGAAGCCUACCUCAAGAUAAGAUUUCCCUAGGACUUUAUGUCCUCUAAAGAGCCGUUCGAGACUAGGACGUUGAUAGGUUGGAUGUGGAAGCAUAGUGAUAUGUGAAGCUGACCAAUACUAAUUGCUCGUGAGGCUUGACUAU
rnacentral:rRNA from 1 species